rnacentral:rRNA from 1 species
AGAGUUUGAUCCUGGCUCAGGAUGAACGCUGGCGGCGUGCUUAAUACAUGUAAGUCGAACGGAGAGUUAGCAAUAGCUCUUAGUGGCGAACGGGUGAGUAACGCGUUGGUGACCUGCCCCGGAGAUGGGGAUAACAGUUCGAAAGGACUGCUAAUACCCGAUGAAGUCAUCGAGGUUAGAGGCUGGAUGACGAAAGGAGAAAUCCGCUACGGGAGGGGCCUGCGUCCCAUCAGCUAGUUGGUAGGGUAAAGGCCUACCAAGGCGAAGACGGGUAGGGGACCUGAGAGGGUGAUCCCCCACACUGGCACUGAAACACGGGCCAGACACCUACGGGUGGCAGCAGUAGGGAAUAUUGCACAAUGGGCGAAAGCCUGAUGCAGCAACGCCGCGUGCGCGAUGAAGGCCUUCGGGUUGUAAAGCGCUUUUCGGGGAGAUGAGAAAGGACAGUAUCCCCGGAAUAAGGCUCGGCUAACUACGUGCCAGCAGCCGCGGUAACACGUAGGAGCCAAGCGUUAUCCGAAUUCACUGGGCGUAAAGCGCGUGCAGGCGGCUCGGUAAGUUGGGUGUGAAAUCUCCUGGCUCAACUGGGAGAGGACGUUCAAUACUGUCGGGCUAGAGGGCAGCAGAAGGAGGUGGAAUUCCCGGUGUAGUGGUGAAAUGCGUAGAUAUCGGGAGGAACACCAGUGGCGAAGGCGGCCUCCUGGGCUGCAUCUGACGCUCAGACGCGAAAGCUAGGGGAGCGAACGGGAUUAAAAACCCCGGUAGUCCUAGCUGUAAACGAUGUAGACUUGGUGUCGGUGGGGUAAAAGCCAUCGGUGCCGAAGCCAACGCGAUAAGUCUACCGCCUGGGGACUACGGCCGCAAGGUUAAAACUCAAAGGAAUUGACGG